ACCUGGUUGAUCCUGCCAGUAGUCAUAUGCUCGUCUUCAAGAUUAAGCCAUGCAUGUCUAAGUGUAAACCACUGGUGAACUGCGAAUGGCUCAAUACAUCAGUUAUGAUUUCCUUGGUGGUAUUCUCUACUCGGAUAACCGUAGUAACUCUGUGGCUAAUACGUACGAAGUCCCUCACUCUUGAGGUUGGGCGUAUUUGUUAGGUAUAAACGCCGACCCACACCCCGAAGGUGGUUGAACGUGUUGAAUCAUAAUAACUGUCGAAUCGUGUGGCGAUACGCACCCUCCCCAUUACCUAGAUGCAUAUGUGAUGGGACAAAGAGGAUGACGUUCCUAACGCCAACGAUGCACCAUCUAAAUUUCUGCCUUAUCAACUUGAUGGUAGGGUAGUGGCCUACCAUGGUCGUGACGGUAACGGGAAUUGGCGUUCGAUUCCGGAGAGGGAGCCUGAGAAAUGGCUACCACUACUAAGGGAGGCAGCAGGCGCGCAACUUACCCAAUCCUGACGCAGGGAGGUAGUGACGAAACAUACCACGGCCUAGACCGAACAGGUCAUGGCUACGGAAUGCAUUCAAUCUAAAACGUUGAGUGAGGAACAAUUGGAGGGCAAGACUGGUGCCAGCAGCCGCGGUAAUACCAGCUCCAAUAGCAUAUACUAGUAUUGUUGCGGUUAAAACGUUCGUAGCCGAAUUUAAUGCUCUGAGGCCGCAUACCGCCUCGAGUUACUGCCGUUGUAUCACUGAGGGGACAACACGACUCCAGCUCUUUGGAAGAGUAGAACCCAACGAUGCAGCGGUUGGUUACCUUGAGUAAAUUUUAGUGUUCAUAGCAAGCACCAUGCUGUUGGGUACAACAGCAUGGGAUAACACCACAGGAACUUCGACUCGGGUAGCGUUGGAAGACGAAGGACGAAGGAAAGUUUAAUAGGAGCAGUCGGGGGUAGUCGUAUUUCGAUGCUAGAGGUGAAAUUCUUUGACCAUCGAAGGACGCACGACAGCGAAAGCAUCUACCAAGAAUGUUUUCAUUGAUCAAGAACGAAAGUUGGGGUAGCGAAGACGAUUAGGCACCGUCAUAGUCCCAACCGUAAACGAUGCCGACUAGGGGUUGGUGGACGUUCUUAUCGAUAGCUCCAUCAGCACCUUAUGAGAAAUCACAAGCUUCUGGGUUCCGGGGGGAGUACGGUCGCAAGGCUGAAACUUAAAGGAAUUGGCGGAAGGGCACCACAAGGCGUGGAGCUUGCGGCUUAAUUUCACUCAACGCAGGAAAACUUACCAGGUCCGUACAUAGGGAGGAUUGACAGAUUGAUAGCCUCUUUCUUGAUUCUAUGGGAGGUGGUGCAUGGCCGUUUCUAGUUCGUGAGUUGACUUGUCUGGUUAAUUCCGAUAACGAGCGAGACCCCAACCCCUGUUAAGCUAGACGAGGUGCCGGUUUAAUGCCGGGCAUCAGCGCUAGAGCGUUACAGGGGGACGCUUGGUGGUAAACCAAGGGAAGCAUGGGGCCAUAGCAGGUCUGUGAUGCCCUUAGAUGUUCUGGGCUGCACGCGCGCUACAAUGAUGCAAUCAAUGAGGGAGCACCGAGCCGAGACUGAGGAGGAUCUUAUAAUCUGCAUCGUGAUGGGGAUAGAUCAUUGCAAUUGUUGAUCUUGAACGAGGAAUGCCUAGUAGCGAGAGUCAUUACGUCGCGCUGAUUUCGUCCCUGCCCUUUGUACACACGCCCGUCGCUCCUGCCAAUGGGUAGGGUGGCAAGAGGAUCUGCCUGACCGAUGUUGUAGUGUACACAUUGCGUCGAGUCACCUCCUCGAACUGCCUUAUCUAAAGGAAGGAGAAGUCGUAACAAGGUUUCCGUAGGUGAACCUGCAGGAGGAUCA
rnacentral:rRNA from 1 species